rnacentral:rRNA from 1 species
UACGUAGGUGGCAAGCGUUGUCCGGAAUUAUUGGGCGUAAAGCGCGCGCAGGCGGUCUUUUAAGUCUGAUGUGAAAUCUUGCGGCUCAACCGUAAGCGGUCAUUGGAAACUGAAAGACUUGAGUGCAGAAGAGGAGAGUGGAAUUCCACGUGUAGCGGUGAAAUGCGUAGAUAUGUGGAGGAACACCAGUGGCGAAGGCGACUCUCUGGUCUGUAACUGACGCUGAGGCGCGAAAGCGUGGGGAGCAAACAGGAUAGAA